GAUGAAAAUGAAUAAAAAUACAUGACCGAUAUUUGGCAUUUAUGGAGGAGAUUCUUAAAUAUGACUAACAAAUAUGCGUAUGCAGCCUAAUGCUUUCACUACCAGAAGGAAUGUUAGUAACGUAAGUAACCAGAGUGUUCAAUCAUGAUAAAAUUCGUCAAUCUAUAUUUGUUGACCUUGUAUUUUUGAACUAUUAUUUGUCCACAUAUGAUAUUUGGCACAUGUGAUCGACCGUGACACAUGUAAACAAGCAGGCACUCCUGUUAAUUAAAUGGACAUCCUCGUCGAAAUGAUGUUCGCUUCCCGCCUCACCAUCCCGCUCGUCAGAGUCCGAAUCACGUUCGUCCAGUAUAUCAGCACGUUCUUCUGUAACAUCCCGAUAACGUACAUCGACGACAUCGAAGAGGGUGACUUCCAGGAGAUCUGAGCCCAAUGGACGUCCUCUUGUCUUUCAUCUUCCGAAUGUCAGUCCGUCUUCCUUUCCAGCGGGAGCUGCGGAUCAUUUUCGAACUGACGACCUUGGCCACCCAGCAGGUGGAGUUCUUCGACGACAUCGAUACGGAUGAUUUCGUUUGAUUAUAUUUUCCUUUGGUGUUUCGUUCGAUUAUAGUCCUUUUGAAUUGAGUCUUGCUACACACUUAUAACUCCACAAGCUGACCCACAUCAAAAACAAAAACAAAAUAAAUACCUAAACCACAUAAUGUUUUAUCUAAAUUUAUGUUCAUUAUGAUUCAACCGUUCACUCAUCAAGAAAUUUAAGAUUUUUGUUGUUAUGUUCCGACAAAAAAGAUUGAUAUCUAGUGAUAAUCCAGAUGGGUUCAUUUACAUAUUAAUGGCAGAAUCU